AACUACCGAUUCAUUAGGUACAUGUUAUUUCAAAUUAUAAUCAUGUAGCAAUUGAUGAUAUUAAGUCCAUGCUACUAAUUUAGCAUAGUGAGUAUGUCACGUAACUAUGUGUAAAUGCUUCUGGUAAUUAACUACACAUUAAAUAUGGUGAAUAUAUUAACAACAGCCAUUAUGAAAAAAUAUUUGGAGAGUCUUAUAGACAUACAUAAUGACUAGGUAUGAAAAACCAGUGUCAUUAGAUUAUUUUCCUUUUGUUUGAUUCUGCUGGACCAAAGGAAUUGACUGUAAUUAAAGUGAAAUAAACAAACCUAGCCUCUACAUACUUUACAAGCCUACGGGGCAUUUCUGAGAGGUAUGUUGGGCUUUUAGGUCCCAUAGAGGGAGAGUAGGCCUACUGGGCUAAGAAUUGUCUACCAAGAAAUGCAAUGUUAUUAAUCAACCCUUUCGGUAACUCCAAUUGUAUACGACCAGGUAAGCCGAGGCUCACUUAAGUACACAUCCUCAAAAGUACUUGCCUAGACAUCGCAUCCAACUGGGUGAGCCUAGUUUGAGAAGAAUUAUAAUCAUUGUAUAGACUCAUGGCGACACAUGGCGAGCUUCUGUGCUAGCCUUGUAGCUUGCAUCAAGCUUCUGGCUCAAUUUCGUGCAUAUACAGACUUGAUUUAAGCUUCUGACUUAACAUCAUUAAUAUUCACCAAUAUAACAUAAACCAAUGCAAUAUAUGUUAUUAAAUUGUUACAGACAAACUUAAUGUGAAAGAAAUUAUAUGAAACCGAAAUAAAUUAAAUUAUAACGGAAACAAUUUAAUUCUCAUUGACAUAAUGUAUAUGCAAUACAAUUGGUAUUUACUAAACCAAUAAAUGUCAACACCGUAGCGGUUACGUGCAAAAUAAAUUCAUUUGUAUCAUUAAUUGCUUCCGGUAAAAUGCGUUAUUACAUCCCCAUAACAAUUCAUAUAAAUGAUAACAUAAUUGAGAAUUGAUUAAAUAAAACUGACGCAAUUUGAAUUUAGAAAUUAACCGACAUUUAAUAUAUGACAUAAAUUACUAAAUAAAUAUUAUUUAUGCUGCGGUUAAGUACCAAAGGCAAUGAGUUCAAAUCUCAUUAAUGCUUCUAGCAUUACAC
rnacentral:lncRNA from 1 species